GCACUCGGAAGGAGCUGCAGGAGCAAAAUGGCCGUUGUGUAAUGCUGCAGGGCUCGGCGUGCCGGGCUUGGGGGCUCUGCAGCCUCUUCCAGCCCCGAGACCCUCUCAGGAAGCUGCAGACCACUGCUUGGGGAAGCAAUGAAACCCAUGGAGGUCAUGAUGUGCUUCGUGAGAGAAGGAAAAUGGCCUCACCUCUCCUUAGCUCUCGCAGUGCUUGGUGUGCAGCUCCACACCAACCCUGCUGUGCUCAUGGAAAAGGCUUCCAGGAAAUCUUAACCCUUUUCAGUGUCACCAUGUCAUUCCCACCCCCCACGCAUGGAGCCGAGGCCCUCGCUGGAUUCACACGAGGUGCACCUGCAGUGGGUUGUGUGGGAAGAAACUGCUCUGGAGUGGGCUGUACAGAUCUGGAUCCAGGUGGGAGCGACGGCAGUAGAAUAACUAAGUGAAGACCUGGCCACAGCAGGUGGCUUGGCAGAGAAGACAAAGGAAAAAGGCAGGCUUUGAAACGUUAUUUGGAGUGCAGGAGCUCUUUCCCUCUCAUGACCUGGAGCUCCCUGCAGGGUGAAGGAGUGCAGCUAAUGAGUCCCUCCUGUGCUGCCCAGGAGUGUGGGAUGGCCAUGCUUAGGAUGGAGCCGACCGUGCUGGCAGGCUUUUCCCUCUGUGCCUCUAUUUUUCAUCUCCAGAGGCUCUUGUUUCUGGCACAGUUGUGGAGCUCUGGAAAACGCCUGCUUCCCUCUCAGGCCAUGCCCCCAUCGGUGCAGUGCUGGCAGCAGGAGCAGCCCGGAUGACAAUGCCCCACAGCCAGCACAGAUGUUGUCACCACACGAGUCUCCCUCUCGCUGUGUCCUCAGGCUCUUUGAUCCUCUGAAGGCAGAGGAGCCUGCAGGGCUUUCCCAGGCAGGAGCUGUGCGUGGGGAGCACAGCCACGUCCCCCAGCUGGUCCUGGCAGCCAGGGAUGCUCUCUGCUUUCCCCGUCGCUGCCUCCUGGCAUGUCGUGGCCCCCUCCUUGGCCAUGACUGAGGGCAAGAACUGACCUGCUUUGCCUGUUAGCAAUUAGUGCAGUGGGAUCCUGCCCUUCAUGCAGCACCUCCUGGAUGCAGGGGUUGGACACGAGCAUGGGAGGGCUGUGGGUGAGGUGUCCCCUCGCCAGUGAUUGCUGUAACUCCUCCCAAGGCCAGAGUAACCCAGUGUAAAACCAGAGACCUCAGAGGAGCAGCACUGAACCCAGCUGGAAGUUUCCCCUGCCUCGGGGUAAGGCAUCAGUCCUGGUGGCGGAAAAGGCAAUAGGAAAUUUCAUAGAAGACAAAAUUAAGUAUUAGGAAUAUGCAAUUUGUGCCACUCUUUGUGGAGCUACCAAACAAUUCUUCUUUUGAGAAAGCUGAAAUGGAAUUGAGAGCAGUAACUGCAGCACAGGCUGUGGAAAUGCUUCCUGUGUGCAGCUGCAAGGUUAAUCUGAGGUGUAAAAUGGAGCAAAGCACAUGCAGAGUGCCCACGGGCCCAUGGCCAGGCUCCAAGGCCUGGUGCUGAGGAGAUGCCGUGGGACGUGGGUGCUCCUACAGGGAUGGAAGGAUUUGGAAUGCAGUUGCCACUUCAGUAUUCCUGCCUUUGCUCUGGAAGCAAUCACUGGUGAUAAAAUCUGUGAGACAGCAAAUAAUGAUGCCAGAACACUCGGGUUCUUUGAUAAGCACAGAACUGGAAUGUAUUUUAGGGCAACCAGUGUAGAGCCAUGAAAACAGGAGCAAGUAUUGCUGGUCCUGCUCUUUGGACAUGACUGCAGAUCCAGUGGGGACACUGAUGGUGUGUGUGGUCCCUAAUACUGACCUGGGGGUCAUAGAUCAUGAAUUUCCAAACAAAAAGGUGGCAUUGUUGUCCUUGGAUUCACCUUGAGGAGGCAGAGCAGCAGCUGGCAAUGACUUGAGCCUCUGCAGGAAGCACUGGGGAACCCUGCACAGGAAGGCUGCCUGCAGAUCUGGGGCUCAGUUCUUUACAAAGAGGCUGAAAAACAGAGAAACUAUCCUUCAGAAUAUUUGGAGGAAAAGCUCCCCAUGAGCUGCUCCAGCAGAGGGGAGAGCGGAUGCAGUUGGAGCAUGCUGCCUUCCAGGACAGGGACAGAGAACAGCACCAGACCCCAGCCUGAGCUCCAGGCAAGGACAGGGGACAAGGGCGGGUGCAGGGCCCCAGCAGCUCCUCACAGUCCUCCUGGAGGCUGGCACAGCGUGUCCUCACUGCCACUGCUCUGGCACUGUGGUUUGUGUGACGGCUGGGACACAGCAGGAUGUCCUUGUCACGGAUCAGCCACCCAGACCCGCAGGCAGGGGCUGGAGGCUGCAGGGGAAGGUGCCCAAGGGUUCCUGUGCUUCCUCUGGUGGGGGAGCUGCAAGGAGCAAUGGGGUGGAAACCAAGGUGGGAAUGUCUGAGCAGCCCCUUGGUUGCUUUUGUGUGUUCAAGCCCUGUCUCCCAUUAUUUUCCAGGCAGCAUCCAGGAAGGACUGCAGUCCCUAAGUCCCUGUGCAUGUCCUGAGUGCUCUCCCAGCUGAGAGGGACUGAGCCAGCUUCCUCUGCAGUUCAGAAGUGGCUGCUGGAGUCCCAGGCAGCACAGCUCCCUGCCCCAGGUAUCCAUGGGCAUCCAUGUAGCCCUUACCCAGCUCUCCCCACAGGAACGAGCUGCAGGCCCCCGGGGCCUUUGCCACCCUCCUGAGCAGGUUGUUUGGCACAUCUGGAAUCCCUGCUGUCACAGAAAGGAGCUGCAGCAUCCCCUCCAGCAGGUGGAGAGAAUGGAGGGGUCUCUCCCCCUGCACCACCCGUGUGCACAGACACCCCCAGCACCCAGCAGAGCUCUGCCUUCCCCCAGGGGCUGGGCACACACAGGGAUGGGGGUUCAAACGAGAGGAAAGCAGUCAGUCUGGAGCACUGAGAUGCUCCUGGGCAGGCAGGGGGAUACUGGGGCAGAGGUAAGAGGAUAGGACAUGGAACGUCCAUGGCUGGAGGCAGAGAUGGUGAGAAACCCCAAACCACCUCCUGUGCAAGCAGAGGGAACUGAAUGUGCAGAAGAAACACAGUCAGAUGUGCAGUAGGAGGGGUGGGAAGUUCAACUGCGAACAUUUUCUGAGGGAAAACCAGGGUUUGCAUGUUUGAAAUGCACUGUAGGGAAAUUUUCAUUUUGAUAAUAUUCCAAUUUUCUUCUGGAGAACCAGCCAGAAGCUGGGCUUCAGCUUCCUCCUGCACAUCGUGUCCCAGGAGAUUGGACAGUUUGUCCUCAGGGACUUCCAGGCCCCAGGAACUGUCACACAGCAGGGGCUGGAAAGCACCUCAGAGAGUCUGGUCACUGCUUGGGGAUUCCCUGCCCUCCUUCACCUCAGAGGAGGCUGGAGCCUGGGCUGGGUGGUGUGGUGAUGGAGAUGGAGCAUCAUCACCAUGCUGGGGACCAUCAGCCCCCUGCAGCCCUUGGUGCCCCCACCACGCCCAGCCUGGGUGUCCCUGGGAAAGGUCCCCAGAGGGAUGGGGCUGCCUGCCUUCCCCCAGCAGGGCUGGCACCAGGAAUGGCACCAGGAAUGGCACCCUCCCUCCCUCCCUCCCCAGGCACCCUGGGAACUCUGGCACACAGCAACGAUCUCCAUCCUGCCCACUGCAAGGAGGGGUGGCUGGUGCCUCUGCAGCACCUGCUCGAGCAGAAACCUCCCAUUUGGAGGGGCUGGAGGGACCAAACUCCUUGGAAAGGGGCCACAGGAGGUUCUCCAGGUGUCUGUCUGGCGCCAGCAGAGCCCAGGUGGUGACAGGCACCACUGUUGGGCGGAGGUGCCACGGCUGUGCCCUGUCAAGAGGAGAGUGAGAUCUCUGGGCAUUUCCAACCUCCUGGAGCUGCAGUGAGGCUGAAACGGGAAGGGAAAAGGGGUCAAUUGUGGGAAUCCAGGGCUUCCCUCUGGCUGCCCUGGCAGGUCUGGGACCCUGGCAGGGGUCAGGAACCCCCCUGGACAGAGCCCCCAGAGACACUGGCUGUGAUCUCUGUCCAUGGAAAAGAGUUUUCAAUCUUACAGAAUGAAUUACCAGCUCUGAGUGUUUGAUAUAAGAAAUAAUUAAGUGUGGCACGGGUGCAAAAGUAAAAUUUUAGGAUUCUAGAUUAGGGGUCCAAAGGGGACAGGAUGGAGGAAAUUGGGUGUGUCUUGUCCUUUUUCUCCUUCUUCAUGCCCUCCAUGUUUCACUGUGGUGUUGGCAUUUUUCUGUUGGUUCAGGCUGGGGACACACUGUCCAACGUAGGUGACAGAUAUUGGCACGUUAUUGUAAAUCCAGCACAGGUAGUUUGUGGUAUUUAAUGUUUGUACCAUCCCACUGAGGGCAGAGCCCCACACGCUGCCCUGCAGGACAGAGCUGCGGCAGGGCAGCAGAACAUGUUAGAGAUAAACAGAAUAAACAACCUUGAAACCAGCACAGACCAAUUAUGGCUUCUGCUUUGGCAGCGGGGCAGAAAGACAGAGACUUUCUACAAUCUCAGAAUCAUCAAUACCACAGAUUCCAACAGUCAGUGACAAAUGAGCUGCUCUGGAACUUGCAACCCUUGCAGAGACAGGACCCAGCUUUCAGAGUGAUGGUGCAGAAACACCCAUCACUGCGAGUGAGGAUCACUUCCCAGGAGUUCCCACGUCUGAAACCCACCCCUGGGAGGAGGCAGCAGAGAUCUGCUUUGGCUGUGUGCCCCAACCCCCUGUGCCCUGGCAGGAGCCACCACAGUGCCCAGAGCACCCCUGGUGUCCUGCCCCACCCUGCCCCAGCCGCAUGUGGCUCUGUCCCCUUGCAGGGGGGAUGCCAGGGGCAUCUCAGUGCUCAGCACCUCAUCCUGCUGCUGGGAGCUGCUCCUGUCUUUGCAAAGCUUCGGGAGCUCCUGGGGCUCUCCAGUCUGUGACGCUUCCCGGGAAUACUCCUGACCUUAGGAGGACGGGAAACUGAGAGUGGCUUUCCAAUCUCCCUGCUGAGGCUUUCAAAGACACCAACCAUGAUAAAUGAGAUGUGCACGGCCUUGGGAGGAGCUGAGCAAGAGAGCCCAACCCAGGCUGGCCCAGUGUGACAAUGUGGCCUUUAGGGGCAGGAGCUGAGUGCCAGACUUGGUGCUGCACUGGAUGCUCUCACCCCAGGAGUGGGGAGCCUGGCUGGGCUACAGCACCACCAGAGCAGAUCAGUGGUGGGUGAUGGCUCAAAACCACCCAAAACACGGGAAUAUGGUGACAAACCUGCCCCUAGAGAGCCGUGCCCUCCUGUCCUGUGUGAUUGAUGUUUGAUGAUAGGAGAUCAAAAUCUCAUUGCUGAGGACAGAAAGAAAGAUUGAUUACACAAGGUCUAUUAUGAAACCAGCCUAAAAAAAAAAAAAAAAAA
ensembl:lncRNA